CAACCCAGAAAAAAUACUACUAUGUGCCAAUUAAAAGCUGGGCAGCAGUGCUGCAUGCCUUUAAUCCCAGCACUCAGGAGGCAGAGCCAGGCGGAUCUCUGUGAGUUCAAGGCCAGCCUGGUCUACAGACUGAG